ensembl:lncRNA
UCUCCACAAAAAUUUAGCCCCAAAAACUCUGGAUCAAGAGGCACACUGUGGUUCAAAGAAUGCCCCAAAAGUCAUUGUUGCCAGAGAUGGAGGGAACUUGCCGGGGGAUGGAAAGCGGUGGAAGGCGAGGUGAGAGAGGAGUCAGGGAGGGAAAGCAGGAGCGCAGGGACAAGUGGCGGUGAACUGCUUCUUUUUGUCACUCCUUCUCCUUUAUUUGCUGUGACAUCUUCACCCUCUGCUUCCAUCAUCUACUUCAUUCCCAUGUCAGGGCUCUGGCACGAAAUUCCACACAUGCCUUUAAUUUGGAAUGAGGCAGCUCAGGAGUGAAGUUAUCUUACCGCUGUGGAAUUUUCCACUCUUGCCUCUAACAUGAGCCCAGAAGCAAUUAAGCAAAAGGAGGAGUGGGGUUUAUUAUCGGAUUGGAGAAGGGGGCGAUGGCUGCCCGCGAGAGAAAUCGAAGGUAACACUUGCUUCUGUUUGCUCGGGCCUGUGUUUACCGGGCAGUGCCAGCGAGAGAGGCAGGAUGGAGAGAUAACGAUUAGGGGGUGGGAGGUGACAGGGGGAUAAACGCUGCUGUCCUCGGCACUAAAAGUCCACGUGCUCUGAGAAUGAAUUGAGAGAAGAUGGGAGGAAGAAUAUUUAUCUUGGCCCCGUUGACCCCAGCUCGUUAUCUCACUUUCUCAACUCGCUCAUUCAGAAAAUGUUACCCUUCGCAUGAUGGACUGAAUCUGAACUGAGUCAUGGCUUUUAAUAGGCUUCCCAACCCUCCCCGACAGAGUAGUGACCGCCGUUACAUAAAAGAGGGAAAAGACAACAUUUUUGAAACGGCUCCUCUUCCGUCUCACUUGGCCUCCUCGGGGGGAAUUUGCGGGGUCUGAGUAACCCAAUCAGGGCCCGUGUGAUGGAUCUUACAGAUAUGUUAGAUCCGUGGCUCGGCGAUUGACCGCCUGGCCUGUUUUUGUACUCACAUCCUCAGUUUGGUGUCUGCUCCUUUUGUCUAACUGGCAAAGGAAAAGCUGGGUUAUAAAAAGAACACUGACGAAAGGCCUUUGAAGUUUUCCGCGAGAAAUUGUGGAGAGGAGUUGGGGAAACAGUUGGGUCUCUUCUACUUGAAAUAGUAAUUAUGCUAACGCUUUGAUACUUUGAAAACUGGGAGCACGCAUUCAAGUCUCCUAUUCUCAGUGCUGCAAUAGAGAGGAGAGGAAGAAAAGUCCCCAUUCUCCUGAAUAAUAACCACACUGAUGUUCAGAAAAGGCUUUAUUCCAAAGUGACUUCAGAGCUUCUUUUUCUCUCGCACACAAAAUCUGAAAACCUCCUUUUCAAGCACUAAUUGAUAUUGAAUGUAAUAACCAGCUUCUUCUUCUUGUCUCUCUCAGUCAACAGCACAAAGACAGCUGCAUGGCUAAAAAGAGCAUUCACUCUGUGCAAAUCAGUAUAAUAUGAAAUAGAGGCUACGCUGAGGCCUGGGUCUAGUUUCCAUUUGUCCAGGUUAUAAUCUUGGAAAAGCUCUAAAAUAUUUCAGAUCUAUUAAAAAAACACUUUUCUGGCUUUUACAUAUAUAUUACAAACAGGAAUGGGAUCUUCAGGGUCGAGCAAGACUUUGGAAGUCAGUCAUAUUUUUCUGUCAUCUGUUUCAGGGAAAAUGCAUGACUGCGCUACAAUGAGCUAUUAGCAGAACUGAAAUGAGUGCAACUCUGAGCCCUUUGCACCAGUUUCAGUUACAUGAAACCCACCCAUAAAGUCUAGCCAACUCCUGCUCUCCACCCUGUGCUUCAAAUGAAAACAAAGGGUGUGCGCUGGAGUACGAGGAAAACAGAGGAAGAACUGGCCAUCUCUUUUCUGUCUGUUGAGGAUAUCUACAAAAAGAAAAGAAAAAACUGUGAGAUAGGUAGUGAGAAAGGAAAUGGGAAAACAGUUACAGACUCGAUGAGUCAAGAAAUAGACUUCUGAUAGAUUGUUUGCAGGAAAGAGAGGUGAGCAGCGGUGCAGCGGGUUGUCUGGGUCAGCUAGCAGCUCAUUGAGAGUCUGUGUCCUCUCCCUGAACUCAGAAACAUGGAGGUGACACUGCCAUCUCCCUCUUCAACAGUCAAUAUCAAUAACCGCUUUAGACGUCACUGGAGGAGAAGCGGAUGGGGGAUGUUUGUGUGAUGGGUAGUGGGUGUGAAACCUGCUCUUUUUCUGUUCUUGAUGAGGAGGAAGUUUAAUUGUGUACUUAAAUUUUAUAGGUAGAACAAGAACAUCCAAACAAUGCUAAUAAGUUAUUUGCACUGAACUGCACCCAUUCGGUAUAUUAUCCCCGUCAGUUUCAGUUAGUUUAAUUUAGCACCAAAUCAAAACAACUGUCAGUUCAAGGCACCUGAGGCAACAGUUAUAGCAGGGUUUUCAAACUGCAGUAAAUUGCACUUGGAAGACAAUAUUACAGAGAAAACCCCCAACAAUCAGGAGCAACCAUUUGGUGACAGUAGGAAGGGAAAAAAUCCCUUUUAACAGGAAGAAACCUACAGAACCAGGCUCAGGGAAGGUGGUGAACCAGUUGCUGGUGAAGGGACAAAGACAGGAUAAAAGACACAUUGUGGAAAAGAAGAAGCCCUCAUUGCAUCUUUGGAAGCCCCCAGGAGGCCUAUUGGAGCAUAACUAAGGAACGGUUCUAACUAUAAGUUUUAUCAAACAGGAAAGUUUGAUAAAACUUAUGACUGUGUCUUCUCUCUCAAAACCAAACUGUGUGAGCUGGUUCCACAUAAGGGGGCCUAAAAGCUGAAGGUUCUGGCUCUCAUUCUAGCAAAGCUAAUGUGGGAGAAAUCGGUUCUCUCUUUCUAGUCCCUAACAGUACUCUCACUGUGGCAUUCUGGACUAAUUGAACUUUUGGAACAACUUGGGAAUAAUGAAUUAUAAUAGUUCGAAAGAGACACAGUGAUCAAAGAAGUGGAUGGCCCAAUUUACAUUUUAAGAGAACCCAAUUGAGUUUACUCAUCAUACUAUAAUGAUCGUGGCAUAUGUAAGUAUAUUUCUGUGUUCCCUAUCACUCACGCUAUAGGCAGGGGUUUGCUAGUAAAUAAAAUGCAAAGUCAGUGGUGUUGGUUUCAACAUCUACAUACUUGUUAGAAUAAAGUUACAGAAAAUACUGCUGUAAGUGUCCCUGUGCCUACCCGGUCGGCUCAGUAUGGCUACAUAUGUUUUUCAUUUUGUUCCUGCACUCUCCCUUCCCCUCUUUCCCUCCUCCCUCUGCCUGGGCGGAGCUCACCUGUGGGCUCCUGCCCUUGGCCCACGCACCUGGUCACGAUCACGCACCUGUGGCUCAUUACGAGAGUGUUCCAGCUCCUUUAUAAGAUGGCAGCUCUGUGUUUCUCGUCGCUGGACCGUUGCCGACCCGC